rnacentral:rRNA from 1 species
UGGGGAAUAUUGCGCAAUGGGGGGAACCCUGACGCAGCCAUGCCGCGUGAAUGAAGAAGGCCUUAGGGUUGUAAAGUUCUUUCGGUAUUGAGGAAGGUUGAUGUGUUAAUAGCACAUCAAAUUGACGUUAAAUACAGAAGAAGCACCGGCUAACUCCGUGCCAGCAGCCGCGGUAAUACGGAGGGUGCGAGCGUUAAUCGGAAUAACUGGGCGUAAAGGGCACGCAGGCGGUUAUUUAAGUGAGGUGUGAAAGCCCUGGGCUUAACCUGGGAAUUGCAUUUCAGACUGGGUAACUAGAGUACUUUAGGGAGGGGUAGAAUUCCACGUGUAGCGGUGAAAUGCGUAGAGAUGUGGAGGAAUACCGAAGGCGAAGGCAGCCCCUUGGGAAUGUACUGACGCUCAUGUGCGAAAGCGUGGGGAGCAAACAGGAUUAGAUACCCUGGUAGUCCACGCUGUAAACGCUNNCGAUUUGGGGGUUGGGGUUUAACUCUGGCGCCCGUAGCUNACGUGAUAAAUCGACCGCCUGGGGAGUACGGCCGCAAGGUUA